rnacentral:rRNA from 1 species
UACAGAGGUCUCAAGCGUUGUUCGGAUUCAUUGGGCGUAAAGGGUGCGUAGGCGGCGGGGCAAGUCAGGUGUGAAAUCUCGGGGCUCAACCCCCGAAACUGCACUUGAUACUGCCUUGCUAGAGCUCUGGAGAGGAGAUUGGAAUUUACGGUGUAGCAGUGAAAUGCGUAGAUAUCGUAAGGAAGACCAGUGGCGAAGGCGAAUCUCUGGACAGCAGCUGACGCUGAGGCACGAAGGCCAGGGGAGCAAACGGG